rnacentral:lncRNA from 1 species
AUUUAUGCAUCUCAUGGUAUAACCAUUAAUCUUGAAUUCUUUAUCCUGAAUUUAUUUUUUUUGCGACUAGAAGCUAGUGAAAAAAUGGAGAUAUUCAGGGGUUCCAAAUAUUUAAUGAGGCCGUGAAGCAUAUUUGGUCCAUCAAAGAAAAGAAGAAUUGAAUGAUCUAUUAGGAGGUACUUACAAUUGUAACCAGUGAAAGAUAAAUAUAAUGCAUCAGUAACUUUGUAUUUCUAAUAUUGCAAUUUGUAAUGUCAAGGGGAAAGUGAUGGACUGCCAAAAUUUGCCUAUUUCUAAGAUAUGCUUCUCUCUGAUACAGAGAUCCAAUCUCAAUCUAUACAUCAAUGCUAUUCACUGUGAGCUUCAACCAUUUGCUUGUACCAUUCCUGGUUGUGGGAUGAAAUUUGCAUUCAAACAUAUCAGGGAUAAUCAUGAAAAAUCUGGGUGCCAUGUUUAUGCCCAGGUAAGUUUGGCCUUAUUUCCCAAUUUUACAACUCGACUAUCAGUCCCUUUUCCAUUCUGAGAGAUGUCUUGGGCAAUUAAAAUUUAAACUAAUCUUUGAGUCUUGCUCUGUUAAGGGAAAUUUUGAAGAGUCCAAUGAGCAAUUCGUCUAAGACCAAGAGGUUUCAGGAAAAGAACAAGCCUAGAGAUUGAAACCUUGAUGCGGAAAAGGGUUGUUUCGCCUAGUGAAUCAGGUCUCAUGAGACAGGAGGGACCUGAAUACUUGUCGUGGCUACUUUUUGGAUAUUCACAGGAUUAAAUGAUUGUUGGGAGAAGACGGAGAUGCUGCCAUCAAACAUAUGUAAAAGUAUGGUAUUCACAGGAUUAAGAGGACUUGCUUGGAGAAUUCAACAAACAUAUGUAUAAGUAUGGUAUCUUUGUUGAUUUUAAUUGCUACUAUCAUACAGUAGACAUGUUUUGGUUUGUUUUUUUUUUUUUAUGUAAUAAAU